CUAUCGUAGGCCUUGCAUUCACUUUCAAUCCAUGCCUGUCCAAACAAAGAGAGGCGUUAUCGGAUUUCGAACUGAAAAACCUAUGUCUCCUUCACAUAGGGAUAAACUCUAUCAGCUAUCACAGCCGAUAUCUGUUGAUAUGAUGUAGUAGACUUAAAAAUAGCAACAACAUAUUAAAAACAAUAAACAAAUAAAUGAGUAAACAAAUCAAUCGAUUCAUAUUAAACAAAUGAAAGGAAGCGUACAUGGAUAGAUCGCUGGAGUGACAGAUGGAUAGACAGAUGUAAAGAUAGUAACAAAUAACAGCACACCGAACAGAAAAAAAAACUGUUAGAGGGAAGACGUUAAAAUGAAUAAUAUGUAGUUAGACAGACUACACACUGCGGUUGGACAACGGUGGAAGUCAUGAAUAGCCAGUUGAACAAGAUAUAGGAGAAAAGGUUAUAUGUCCUCGCUCAGUUACAGCUGCUGAGGUAUCGGCCGCAGUGAACAGACAGUGCGGUAGUAUGCUUGUAUGUUGCUAACAACGUGCAUGUUUAGUUCUAUUGCAUUCGAUUGAUGACUUAACUAUUUUUCUGUGGCUCCGUUGAGAUAGAGAAAGUUGAUUCUUGAGAAGGAUUGUAGUUGCAUAUCAACAUCAGAAAAGAGUUUUCUGUGGGC